rnacentral:rRNA from 1 species
GGUCAAGUUAUUAAGGGUGCAGGGCGGAUGCCUUGGCACUAGGAGCCGAUGAAGGACGUGAUAAGCUGCGAUAAGCUUCGGGGAGUUGCACGUAAACUUUGAUCCGAAGAUUUCCGAAUGAGGAAACUCACUUAGAGUAAUGUCUAAGUAUCAUUAAGUGAAUACAUAGCUUAAUGAGGGGAACUCAGGGAACUGAAACAUCUAAGUACCUGAAGGAAGAGAAAGAAAUUCGAUUCCGUAAGUAGCGGCGAGCGAACGCGGAUUAGCCCAAACCAAUAAAGUUUUCUUUAUUGGGGUUGCGGACAUAUCAUAACGAAGAGGUAUCGUAAUUGAAGAGGUUUGGAAAGACCCACCACAGAAGGUAAUAGUCCUGUAUGUUAAACGAGAAGACUUUAGAUAUGAUCCAGAGUACCACGGGACACGUGAAACCCUGUGGGAAGCAGGAGGGACCACCCUCCAAGGCUAAAUACUACCUAGUGACCGAUAGCGUAUAGUACCGUGAGGGAAAGGUGAAAAGAACCCCGGGAGGGGAGUGAAAUAGAACCUGAAACCCUGCACUUACAAGCUGUGGAAGCACAUUUCUUGUGUGACCGCGUACUUUUUGUAGAACGGGCCAACGAGUUACGUUAAGUAGCAAGGUUAAGCACUUAAGGUGCGGAGCCGUAGCGAAAGCGAGUUUUAACUGAGCGUUCAGUUACUUGACGUAGACCCGAAACCGGGCGACCUACCCAUGAGCAGGAUGAAGCGAAAGUAAAAUUUCGUGGAGGUCCGAACCCACGAGCGUUGAAAAGCUCGGGGAUGACUUGUGGGUAGCGGUGAAAUUCCAAUCGAGCCCGGAGAUAGCUGGUUCUCCCCGAAAUAGCUUUAGGGCUAGCCUCAAGGUGAGAGAUACGGAGGUAGAGCACUGAAUGUCCUAGGGGGUAUUGCACCUACCGAAGACUAUCAAACUCCGAAUGCCGUCAUCUUAUACUUGGGAGUCAGACUGUGGGUGAUAAGAUUCAUAGUCGAAAGGGCAACAGCCCAGAUCGUCAGCUAAGGUCCCUAAAUGUAAGUUAAGUGGUAAAGGAUGUGGGAUUGCACAGACAACCAGGAUGUUGGCUUAGAAGCAGCCACUCAUUCAAAGAGUGCGUAAUAGCUCACUGGUCGAGUGAUCCUGCGCCGAAGAUUUCCGGGGCUAAAACUUACUACCGAAGCUACGGCAUCAGUAAUGAUGGGUAGGGGAGCUUCCCAUACGGGUUGAAGCAUGACCGUAAGGACAUGUGGACAGUAUGGGAGUGAGAAUGUUGGCAUGAGUAGCGAGAUGUGGGUGAGAAUCCCACAGGCCGUAAACCCAAGGUUUCCAGGGGAAGGUUCGUCCGCCCUGGGUUAGUCGGGACCUAAGCUGAGGCCGAAAGGCGUAGGUGAUGGACAACAGGUUGAUAUUCCUGUACUACCGAUAACCGUUUGAGAGAAGGGAUGACACAGUAGGAUAAGCUAAGCACACUGUUGGUUAUGUGUGCCCAAG